rnacentral:rRNA from 1 species
CCGAUUGAGUGACUCCUAAAGGAGUUGGGACUGGCCCUGUGCGGCCGCAAGGUUGCGCAGGUUGCUGGAAACUUCUCCAAUGGGAUUUACUUAGAGGAAGUAAAAGUCGUAACAAGGUUUCCGUAGGUGAACCUGCGGAAGG